UACAGAGGUCCCAAGCGUUGUUCGGAUUCACUGGGCGUAAAGGGUGCGUAGGCGGUGAGGUAAGUCGGAUGUGAAAUCUCCAAGCUCAACUUGGAAAUGGCAUUGGAAACUACCUCGCUAGAGGAUCGGAGGGGGGACUGGAAUACUUGGUGUAGCAGUGAAAUGCGUAGAUAUCAAGUGGAACACCAGUGGCGAAGGCGAGUCCCUGGACGAUUCCUGACGCUGAGGCACGAAAGCCAGGGGAGCGAACGGG
rnacentral:rRNA from 1 species